rnacentral:rRNA from 1 species
CCUACGGGUGGCAGCAGUAGGGAAUAUUGCACAAUGGGCGAAAGCCUGACGGAGCAACGCCGCGUGAAGGAUGAAGGCCUUCGGGUUGUAAACUGCUUUUAUAAGCGAGGAAUAUGAUGGUAACUAAUGAAUAAGGAUCGGACAACAACGUGCAAGCAGCCACGGGCAUACGUAGGAUCCGCGCAUUAUCCUGGGUGACUGGGGGUAAAGAGUUGCGGAAGUGGGAUAAUAAGAUGCUAGUGAAAUCGGCUGGCUAAACCAUUCAGACUAUUAGCUAAACUGUUAAGCUCGAGACGGUGAGGGGUAACUGGAAUUUCUAGUGUAGGAGUGAAAUCCGUAGAUAUUAGAAGGAACACCAAUAGCGAAGGCAGGUAACUGGGACGGUUCUGACACUAAGGCACGAAAGCGUAGGGAGCAAACGGGAUUAGAUACCCCUGUAGUC